rnacentral:rRNA from 1 species
CACGUAGUUAGCCGGUACUUCUUCUGCAGGUACCGUCACUUCCGCUUCUUCCCUACUGAAAGAGGUUUACAACCCGAAGGCCGUCAUCCCCCACGCGGCGUCGCUGCAUCAGGGUUUCCCCCAUUGUGCAAUAUUCCCCACUGCUGCCUCCCGUAGGAGUCUGGGCCGUGUCUCAGUCCCAGUGUGGCCGGUCGCCCUCUCAGGCCGGCUACCCGUCGUCGUCUUGGUAGGCCAUCACCCCACCAACAAACUGAUAGGCCGCGAGCCCAUCCCUUACCAAAAAAUCUUUCCUACACAACCAUCCGAUCACGCAGAAUAUCCGGUAUUAGACCCAGUUUCCCAAGCUUAUCCCGAAGUAAAGGGCAGGUUACUCACGUGUUACUCACCCGUUCGCCACUAAUCCACCCCAGCAAGCUAGAGCUUCAUCGUUCGACUUGCAUGUGUUAAGCACGCCGCCAGCGUUCGUCCUGAGCCAGGAUCAAACUCU